GACGAACGCUGGCGGCGUGCCUAAUACAUGCAAGUAGAACGCACAGUUUAUACCGUAGCUUGCUACACCAUAAACUGUGAGUUGCGAACGGGUGAGUAGCGCGUAGGUAACCUGCCUGGUAGCGGGGGAUAACUAUUGGAAACGAUAGCUAAUACCGCAUAAUAUUGAUUAUUGCAUGAUAAUUGAUUGAAAGAUGCUAUUGCACCACUACCAGAUGGACCUGCGUUGUAUUAGCUAGUAGGUGAGGUAACGGCUCACCUAGGCGACGAUACAUAGCCGACCUGAGAGGGUGAUCGGCCACACUGGGACUGAGACACGGCCCAGACUCCUACGGGAGGCAGCAGUAGGGAAUCUUCGGCAAUGGACGAAAGUCUGACCGAGCAACGCCGCGUGAGUGAAGAAGGUUUUCGGAUCGUAAAGCUCUGUUGUAAGAGAAGAACGGGUGUGAGAGUGGAAAGUUCACACUGUGACGGUAUCUUACCAGAAAGGGACGGCUAACUACGUG
rnacentral:rRNA from 1 species